rnacentral:rRNA from 1 species
UUUGACCUGGGAUGAGGUAGGGAUACCCGCUGAACUUAAGCAUAUCAAUAAGCGGAGGAAAAGAAACCAACAGGGAUUGCCUCAGUAACGGCGAGUGAAGCGGCAACAGCUCAAAUUUGAAAUCUGGUCCUUUUAGGUCCCGAGUUGUAAUUUGUAGAAGAUGCUUCGGAUGUGGCUCCGGUCUAAGUCCCUUGGAACAGGGCGUCAUAGAGGGUGAGAAUCCCGUAUGUGACUGGCUGCCUUCGUCCAUGUGAAGCUCUUUCGACGAGUCGAGUUGUUUGGGAAUGCAGCUCAAAAUGGGUGGUAAAUUUCAUCUAAAGCUAAAUAUUGGCCAGAGACCGAUAGCGCACAAGUAGAGUGAUCGAAAGAUGAAAAGCACUUUGGAAAGAGAGUUAAACAGUACGUGAAAUUGUUGAAAGGGAAGCGCUUGCAAUCAGACUUGCGCGCCGUUGAUCAUCCCCGGUUCUCCGGGGUGCACUCGGCGGCGCUCAGGCCAGCAUCGGUUUCGGUGGUUGGAUAAAGGCUUUGGGAAUGUGGCUCCUCUCGGGGAGUGUUAUAGCCCAGAGUGCAAUGCAGCCUACCGGGACCGAGGACCGCGCUUCGGCUAGGAUGCUGGCGUAAUGGUUGUAAGCGACCCGUCUUGAAACACGGACCAAGGAGUCUAACACUUAUGCGAGUGUUUGGGUGUUAAACCCAUACGCGUAAUGAAAGUGAACGGAGGUGAGAACCCUUAAGGGUGCAUCAUCGACCGGUCCUGAAGUUUACGGACGGAUCUGAGUAAGAGCAUAAUUGUUGGGACCCGAAAGAUGGUGAACUAUGCCUGAAUAGGGUGAAGCCAGAGGAAACUCUGGUGGAGGCUCGCAGCGGUUCUGACGUGCAAAUCGAUCGUCAAAUUUGGGUAUAGGGGCGAAAGACUAAUCGAAC